rnacentral:rRNA from 1 species
ACGAUGAAUCUUCUAGCUUGCUAGAAGUGGAUUAGUGGCGCACGGGUGAGUAAUGCAUAGGUUAUGUGCCCUUUAGUCUGGGAUAGCCACUGGAAACGGUGAUUAAUACUGGAUACUCCCUACGGGGGAAAGUUUUUCGCUAAAGGAUCAGCCUAUGUCCUAUCAGCUUGUUGGUGAGGUAAUGGCUCACCAAGGCUAUGACGGGUAUCCGGCCUGAGAGGGUGAUCGGACACACUGGAACUGAGACACGGUCCAGACUCCUACGGGAGGCAGCAGUAGGGAAUAUUGCUCAAUGGGGGAAACCCUGAAGCAGCAACGCCGCGUGGAGGAUGAAGGUUUUAGGAUUGUAAACUCCUUUUGUUAGAGAAGAUUAUGACGGUAUCUAACGAAUAAGCACCGGCUAACUCCGUGCCAGCAGCCGCGGUAAUACGGAGGGUGCAAGCGUUACUCGGAAUCACUGGGCGUAAAGAGUGCGUAGGCGGGGUAAUAAGUCAGAUGUGAAAUCCUGUAGCUUAACUACAGAACUGCAUUUGAAACUGUUACUCUGGAGUGUGGGAGAGGUAGGUGGAAUUCUUGGUGUAGGGGUAAAAUCCGUAGAGAUCAAGAGGAAUACUCAUUGCGAAGGCGACCUGCUGGAACAUUACUGACGCUGAUGCACGAAAGCGUGGGGAGCAAACAGGAUUAGAUACCCUGGUAGUCCACGCCCUAAACGAUGGAUGCUAGUUGUUGCCUUGCUUGUCAGGGCAGUAAUGCAGCUAACGCAUUAAGCAUCCCGCCUGGGGAGUACGGUCGCAAGAUUAAAACUCAAAGGAAUAGACGGGGACCCGCACAAGCGGUGGAGCAUGUGGUUUAAUUCGAAGAUACGCGAAGAACCUUACCUAGGCUUGACAUUGAUAGAAUCUACU